GUAAAUUGCAACUAAAAUCCCAGUUUAAUUCCUGUGUUUAUUCUAUACUAUAACAGCACACGGGCAUUCUCAUCCCACAUUUAAAUUGUAUUAGAUGAUGGAAAUAAUUAUAGCAAAAAAGUGUUUCAUUUUCCAAUUAGUUGCAAUCCUUGCAUAGGAUAACACAGUAGGACUAAAAACUGAUGGAUUGGGCUAAUAGUCUGAACCUCUGGAAGCUUUAGCAAUAUAUAUACACUUAUUAUUAGGUUUUAACUGGACAUUUUAUUGGUGAUAAAGUAUUUACAUUCUGUACUAAAGUGUUUCCAGAGCAUAUGAGUUGCUGCUAAUUAAUCUAGUUCUGAUUAUCUGAAGUGUUUUUACAGUAAUGUAAUUUUUACCAGUUUGCCACUGGUCUGUCAGGUAUGGGCUCCUGCUUCUGGCUGAGAGCAACAGCUGAACUCUGGACAAUAGUGAAUAUCUCCCAGGUAGAUGUGUAAUGUUGAAUGUGGAACUGGGGAGUUGGCUUUAGUCCUCACCUGUGGCAUGAGGAUUACUGUGAGAGUACACAAAGAGGGGAAGAGUACAUUUGGACCAAAACAAAUCUGAUACGGAGUCAUAAAGUACUUAUCAGGAACCUCAGACCAGGAGAUUUGAUACUACUAGCUCAGGCUGUAUGAAGGUAAGCACUGAGGAAACUGAUAUAGGAAAUAAUAUG
rnacentral:lncRNA from 1 species